rnacentral:rRNA from 1 species
GGACGAACGCUGGCGGCGUGCUUAACACAUGCAAGUCGAACGGAGUUCCUUGGAUAGAGGCUUCGGCCAAUUGAAUUGGAACUUAGUGGCGGACUGGUGAGUAACGCGUGAGGAACCUGCCUUCAGAGGGGGACAACAGUUGGAAACGACUGCUAAUACCGCAUGAGACCACGACCCGGCAUCGGGAUGGGGUCAAAGAUUAAUCGCUGAGAGGUGGGCUCGCGUCCGAUUAGGUAGUUGGUGAGGUAACGGCCCACCAAGCCUGCGAUCGGUAGCCGACCUGAGAGGGUGAUCGGCCACAUUGGGACUGAGACACGGCCCAAACUCCUACGGGAGGCAGCAGUGGGGAAUAUUGGGCAAUGGGGGAAACCCUGACCCAGCAACGCCGCGUGGAGGAAGAAGGUUUUCGGAUCGUAAACUCCUGUCCUUGGUGAAGAGCAAGAGACGGUAGCCAAGGAGGAAGCCCCGGCUAACUACGUG